ensembl:lncRNA
AACGUGAACCACCAGCCCAAACCUCCCUGGAGCUGCCCACCCCAUCCCAUCCACACCCAGCUUGGCAAACACCCCCCAAAUUCAGAAACUGCCCCAAAAACAGGGGGGGGGUCAGUGAUGGGGGAGAGAGACCCCAAAACCCCUGGGGGAACGUGAACCACCAGCCCAAACCUCCCUGGAGGUGCCCAGCCCAUCCCAUCCACACCCAGCUUGGCAAACACCCCCCAGAACCAGGAACUGCUCCAAAAACAGGGGGGUCAGUGCCAGGGGGAAAGGACAGAAACCCCCCAAACCCUUGGAGAAACAUGAACCACCAGCCCAAACCUCCCUGGAGCUGCCCACCCACACCCAGGGGUGCCACAUGCAGCAGGUGCCCCCCCCCAGAUUGGCAAAGAAUCAGGAAUUGCCCCAAAAACAGGGGACAGGGGGGUCAGUGAUGGGGGGAGAGAGACCCCAAAACCCCUGGGGGAAUAUGAACCACCAGCCCAAACCUCCCUGGAGCUGACCACCCACACCCAGGGGUGCCCCCCCAGCUUGGCACACACUCCCCAAAAUCAGGAAUUCCUCCAAAAACGGGGGACAGGGAGGAAAGGACAGAGCCCCCCAAACCCCUGGGGGAACGUGAACCACCAGCCCAAAAACACCUCCCAGACUCCCCUGGUAGUGCCCAUCCCACCCCACUCACACCCAGGGGUGCCACAUGCAGCAGGUGCCCCCCCCCAGCUUGGCACACACUCCCCAAAAUCAGGAAUUCCUCCAAAAACAGGGGACAGGGGAGAAAGGACAGAGCCCCCCAAACCACCUGGAGGAACAUGAUCCACCAAC